GGGAAAGCUCAACUUUGAAAUCUGGCACCUUCGGUGUCCGAGUUGUAGUCUCAAGAAGUGUUUUCUGUGCUGGUCCAUGUAUGAGUCUGUUGGAACACAGCGUCAUAGAGGGUGACAACCCCGUUCAUGACAUGGAUACCAGUGCUUUGUGAUACACUCUCGAAGAGUCGAGUUGUUUGGGAAUGCAGCUCAAAUUGGGUGGUAAAUUCCAUCUAAAGCUAAAUAUUGGCGAGAGACCGAUAGCAAACAAGUACCGUGAGGGAAAGAUGAAAAGCACUUUGGAAAGAGAGUUAACAGUACGUGAAAUUGUUGAAAGGGAAACGAUUGAAGUCAGACGUGCGUGAUGCGGUUCAGCACUGGUUCGCCAGUGUGUAUUCCGUAUCUUUGCAGGCCAACAUCAGUUUCGGUAGUCGGAUAAAGGUUAGUUGAAUGUGGCACCCACGGGUGUGUUAUAGGUUCUAACUGAAUACGAUUUCUGGGACUGAGGAACGCAGCGCGCCGCAGGCAAAGGUUCCGACCUUUUCGCGCUUAGGAUGUUGGUGAAAUGGCUUUAAACGAC
rnacentral:rRNA from 1 species